rnacentral:sRNA from 1 species
GUAUCACUGAGCCUUUGGCUGAGUCUGAUACAGUCCUUAUAUACAGACAAUUUUUUUUUCCUUGAGAUGGAGUCUCACUCUGUUGCCCAGGCUGGAGUGCAAUGGCGCAAUCUUGGCUCACUGCAACCGCCUCCCCCCAGGUUCAAGUGAUUCUCCUGCCUCAGCCUCCCGAGUAGCUGGGAUUACAGGCACUCACCACCACGCCCGGCUAAUUUUGUAUUUUUAGAUACAGUUUCACCAUGUUGGUCAGACUGGUCUCGAACUCCUGACCUCAGGUGAUCCGCCUGCCUCAGCCUCCCAAAGCACUGGGAUUACAGGCGUGAGCUACCGCGCCUAGCCCCAUUUAAGGAUUAAAAUGCUGAUUCUGCCCCCAGUUCCAGUUCCAAAGAUUAAAGGAAUCGAUCCAGAUCUCUUCAAGGAAGGAAAAUUAGAGGAGGUGAACACAAUCUUAGCCAUUCAUGAUAGCUAUAAACCCGAAUUCCACAGUGAUGACUCUUGGGUUGAAUUUAUUGAGCUAGAUAUUGAUGAGCCAGAUGAAAAGACUGAGGGAUCAGACACAGACAGACUUCUAAGCAGUGACCAUGAGAAAUCACAUAGUAACCUAGGGGUGAAGGAUGGUGACUCUGGACGUACCAGCUGUUGUGAACCUGACAUUCUGGAGACUGAUUUCAAUGCCAAUGACAUACAUGAGGGUACCUCAGAGGUUGCUCAGCCACAGAGGUUAAAAGGGGAAGCAGAUCUGUUAUGCCUUGACCAGAAGAAUCAAAAUAACUCACCUUA